rnacentral:rRNA from 1 species
GAAAGGCGCGCGAUACAGGGUGACAGCCCCGUACACAAAAAUGCACAUAUUGUGAGCUCGAUGAGUAGGGCGGGACACGUGGUAUCCUGUCUGAAUAUGGGGGGACCAUCCUCCAAGGCUAAAUACUCCUGACUGACCGAUAGUGAACCAGUACCGUGAGGGAAAGGCGAAAAGAACCCCGGCGAGGGGAGUGAAAAAGAACCUGAAACCGUGUACGUACAAGCAGUGGGAGCCUCUUAAUGGGGUGACUGCGUACCUUUUGUAUAAUGGGUCAGCGACUUAUAUUCUGUAGCAAGGUUAACCGAAUAGGGGAGCCGAAGGGAAACCGAGUCUUAACUGGGCGUUAAGUUGCAGGGUAUAGACCCGAAACCCGGUGAUCUAGCCAUGGGCAGGUUGAAGGUUGGGUAACACUAACUGGAGGACCGAACCGACUAAUGUUGAAAAAUUAGCGGAUGACUUGUGGCUGGGGGUGAAAGGCCAAUCAAACCGGGAGAUAGCUGGUUCUCCCCGAAAGCUAUUUAGGUAGCGCCUCGUGAAUUCAUCUCCGGGGGUAGAGCACUGUUUCGGCAAGGGGGUCAUCCCGACUUACCAACCCGAUGCAAACUGCGAAUACCGGAGAAUGUUAUCACGGGAGACACACGGCGGGUGCUAACGUCCGUCGUGAAGAGGGAAACAACCCAGACCGCCAGCUAAGGUCCCAAAGUCAUGGUUAAGUGGGAAACGAUGUGGGAAGGCCCAGACAGCCAGGAUGUUGGCUUAGAAGCAGCCAUCAUUUAAAGAAAGCGUAAUAGCUCACUGGUCGAGUCGGCCUGCGCGGAAGAUGUAACGGGGCUAAACCAUGCACCGAAGCUGCGGCAGCGACACUAUGUGUUGUUGGGUAGGGGAGCG